UUGAACUUGGUUUCAAAAAUCCAUAUACUUGUAUCUAAGUGGAGUGUUUCAUUCAUUCUUCCUUUAUUGAUGGUGGUUGCUAUGUUGGAGCUGAAACUUGAGGGAGCAAUGUUGCUGAGAAUGAAGAAUUUGAAGAAUUUGAAGAAUUUCUGGCUUGCCACGUAUUGUAAUGACUACGGAUGCUCUAGUGGUGCAGCUGCCCCGUCAUUCUGUGUAAAGCAACUUUGCAAAAGUGGUAAUCAAGAAUGCGAGGAUAGAUCUUGUUUCACCUGUAAAAUGCUGCUGAGCAGCUCAGUUCCCGGGCUAGGCUGGACGGGGCUGGGCCUUUCUUUCCAUCAGUUCGGAUUUGGAGCAUGGUGGUGUAGCAUAAAGAAGUGAUUAUUGUACUGAUUGAAACCAACAACUAAGUUAAAUUAACAACAGAUAAUGAGUGAGAAAGUAAAGUUGAUUUCCUCGUCUGAGGAGGAGGAGGAGAAGGAAAAGGAGGAGGAGGAGGAGAAAGAGGAAGAGGAAGAGGAAGAGGAAGAGGAAGAGGAAGAGGAGGAGGAGGAG